GCUUGCUGGGGGGAUUAGUGGCGAACGGGUGAGUAACACGUGAGUAACCUGCCCUUGACUCUGGGAUAAGCCUGGGAAACUGGGUCUAAUACCGGAUAUGACUCCUCAUCGCAUGGUGGGGGGUGGAAAGCUUUUGUGGUUUUGGAUGGACUCGCGGCCUAUCAGCUUGUUGGUGGGGUAAUGGCCUACCAAGGCGACGACGGGUAGCCGGCCUGAGAGGGUGACCGGCCACACUGGGACUGAGACACGGCCCAGACUCCUACGGGAGGCAGCAGUGGGGAAUAUUGCACAAUGGGCGAAAGCCUGAUGCAGCGACGCCGCGUGAGGGAUGACGGCCUUCGGGUUGUAAACCUCUUUCAGUAGGGAAGAAGCCGCGAGGUGACGGUACCUGCAGAAGAAGCGCCGGCUAACUACGUGCCAGCAGCCGCGGUAAUACGUAGGGCGCAAGCGUUAUCCGGAAUUAUUGGGCGUAAAGAGCUCCUACGCGGUUUGUCG
rnacentral:rRNA from 1 species